AUUGAACGCUGGCGGCAUGCCUUACACAUGCAAGUCGAACGGCAGCGGACCUUCGGGUGCCGGCGAGUGGCGAACGGGUGAGUAAAGUAUCGGAACGUACCUUUCAGUGGGGGAUAACGUAGCGAAAGUUACGCUAAUACCGCAUAUUCUGUGAGCAGGAAAGCAGGGGAUCGCAAGACCUUGCGCUGAUUGAGCGGCCGAUACCAGAUUAGCUAGUUGGUGAGGUAAAGGCUCACCAAGGCGACGAUCUGUAGCGGGUCUGAGAUGAUGAUCCCCCACACUGGAACUGGGACACGGUACAGACUCCUACGGCAGGCAGCAGUGGUGAAUUUUAGACAAUGGGGGCAACCCUGGUCCAGCCAUGCCGCGUGGGUGAAGAAGGCCUUCGGGUUGUAAGGCUCUUUCGGCCGGGAAGAAAUCGCGCAGGCUAAUACCCUGUGUGGAUGACGGUACCGGAAUAAGAAGCACCGGCUAACCACGUGCCAGCCGCCGCGGUAAGAC
rnacentral:rRNA from 1 species